rnacentral:rRNA from 1 species
CAAGUCGAACGCGACUUAGGCUUCGGUCUAAGUUGAGUGGCGAACGGGUGAGUAACACGUGGGUGACCUACCUUCGAGUGGGGGAUAACGUCCCGAAAGGGACGCUAAUACCGCAUAACAUCCUGCCUUUGAACAGGCGGAGAUCAAAGCCGGGGAUCGCAAGACCUGGCGCUUGAUGAGGGGCCCGCGUCUGAUUAGCUAGUUGGUGGGGUAAUGGCUCACCAAGGCGACGAUCAGUAUCCGGCCUGAGAGGGCGGACGGACACACUGGGACUGAGACACGGCCCAGACUCCUACGGGAGGCAGCAGCGGGGAAUUGUUCGCAAUGGGCGCAAGCCUGACGACGCAACGCCGCGUGGAGGAUGAAGGUCUUCGGAUUGUAAACUCCUGUUGCUCGGGACGAAAAGCUCCGACCUAAUACGUUGGAGUCUGACGGUACCGAGUGAGGAAGCCCCGGCUAACUCUGUGCCAGCAGCCGCGGUAAUACAGGGGGGGCAAGCGUUGUUCGGAAUUACUGGGCGUAAAGGGCGCGUAGGCGGCCUGCUAAGUCGAACGUGAAAUCCCUGGGCUCAACCCAGGAACUGCGUCCGAUACUGGUUGGCUUGAAUCCGGGAGAGGGAUGUGGAAUUCCAGGUGUAGCGGUGAAAUGCGUAGAUAUCUGGAGGAACACCGGUGGCGAAGGCGACAUCCUGGACCGGUAUUGACGCUGAGGCGCGAAAGCCAGGGGAGCAAACGGGAUUAGAUACCCCGGUAGUCCUGGCCCUAAACGAUGAAUGCUUGGUGUGGCGGGUAUCGAUCCC